UUAGCAAACCAAGGAAGAAGGACUGGAUGUGCAUGAGUUGCAGGAGGCCUUAAGGGAAGCCAAAAGCUGGAGGUGAUAAAGCACAGAGAAAAGAGAGAGAACAUCAUCACAAUGAAGAAAGCCUGGUGCAGUAAAUCAAUGUGGUGCCAGGGAUGACUUGCGUAUAUACAACGUUUGCCAUGGAGUCCUGUGCUCUUUGCAGAGGUGAGAUUCAGGUUUGACUCUGAACUUCUCAGCAGCUGAAACCAAAGUAGACAAUGGCAUCAAUAACAAGAGCCACACAAUCAUUAGAAUAAAAAAAUCCCAGCUAUCAGGAGAAACAGAAACUUUCCAGGAACUUCUGUUCUUAUCACUCCCAGGAGGCCCUUGUGUGAUAUAAAAGGGACAAUACCUUCAAAAUCACUCCUGCAAUAAAAACAAUAGGUGGUUUCAAGAGGUUCAUUCUGAGUGUGUCUCUCAAAGGAGUAACCAAGAUGUAAAGGUAAUUAAGGAAUCUCCAGGAAUGGCCAGGAAAGUGCCGUCAGGGUACAUAGCUCCCAGACAACCAG
rnacentral:lncRNA from 10 species